rnacentral:siRNA from 1 species
UACUCGAUGCUCUUAGUUCUUA